rnacentral:lncRNA from 1 species
AAGCUUAGGUCCAUUCCUGAAUCAAUCACCAGGGUGCAAGAUCUAGGAUGUUCUGAUUGGUCAAACCUGAGUCACAUGAUGAGUCACAUGCCCCUUUCAAGCAGAAAGGAAAAUGAACUCCAGGAGUGGAUGCCUCCCAGAUGACUAACUGCAAAUGCUUCCUGAGGAAGAAGCAGGGAGAGACAGGAGAGACGAUGGCACCAGGACGAAGGGGAAAUCGAUGGACACAUUGGCAUGGAAGGAGUCUCUGUUGCCACCACAGGCCACUGUUUACCUGUUCCGUACACACACCUUUAGCAAAAGAGGCAGCUGCCACCAGGCCCAACCCUCAUCUUUGGAAGGAGGACCAGGGCCUGGAGAGGAAGAGCUGUGAGCCAGGGUGGUGGCUGCAGAGAAUGGGAGGGGUUACUGGCUCAAACUUCCUGUAAGCCGCCAGCGGAAAC